GGGGAGUUGGAGGCUGCAGUAAGCUGUGAUUGCACCACUGCACUCCAGCCUGGGCCAUAGAAUGAGACCCUGUUUCCAAAAAAAAAAAAAACAAAUAAUUUUAAGACUCAACGUUUUGUAUACAGUCCUUAUUCUAACUCUGAAUCUAAUAUUUAACCAAAAGUUACACAUCUCAAGCCAGGUUCACCCAGAACACUGCUAGAGAGGAUCGACCACCUUAACCCCACCCAGCUUCAAGCUUUACAAGGAGACCCAAGCUGCACACGGGCCUCUGCUUACGAUGCUGAAGAGAAGGUGCCUCGGUGGCUUGCUGCUCCCUCCUGUCUUUGCUCCAAUAGCACCUCUGCAUGGAGGCCUGCCUUGACCUUCUUGCCCCAAGUCAGAAAGCCAUCAUCCAGAAUUUGAAAAUGAUAGCUUUUCAUUGGUAUAUCUAUACCGAUGGAUCUAUUGAUUGACUUAUUGAUAGAUAUAGUGCCCUCCUUAACUUGCUUUUGGCCUGACCUGUCUGGAGUGCAGUGGCAUGAUUUCAGCUCACUGCAGCCUCCACCUUUUGGGCUCAAGCGAUCCUCCCACUUCAGCCUCCUGAGUAGGUGGGAUUACAGGCAUGCACCACCACGCCCAGCUAAUUUGUGUAUUUUUAGAAGAGACGGGGUUUUGCCAUGUUGCCCAGGCUGGUCUCGAACUCCUGAACUCAAGUAAUCCGCCCGCCUCAGCCUCCCAAAGUGCUGGGAUUACAGGCAUGAGCCACGGCACCCGGCCUCAAGGGGAUUCUUAAUGUAAUUGUUCACUUUACAUUAUAUAAAAAUGUAAAAUGAUUACUUUUUAUAUAAUUAUAUAUGUAUAUCUCUAAAUUUAUACUUUCUUGGUUUCCCU
rnacentral:lncRNA from 1 species